rnacentral:rRNA from 1 species
UCAGGUGGCUAUAGCGCAAGGGUUCCACCUCUUCCCAUUCCGAACAGAGAAGUUAAGCCUUGUCACGCCGAUGGUACUGCGUCACAGUGGGAGAGUAGGUAGCCGCCGUUU